GUCAGCAUGGCACAGUGGCUUGAGCAUUGGACCACUACUCUGAAGACCAGGGUUCAAAUCCCAGCUCAGCCA